CCUACGUGAGGCAGCAGUGGGGAAUAUUGGGCAAUGGGCGCAAGCCUGACCCAGCAAUGCCGCGUGAAGGAAGAAGGCUUUCGGGUUGUAAACUUCUUUUGCCGGGGAGCAAAGUGCCGCACGUGUGCGGUUUGGAGAGUACCCGGAGAAAAAGCAUCGGCUAACUCCGUGCCAGCAGCCGCGGUAAUACGGAGGAUGCGAGCGUUAUCCGGAUUUAUUGGGUUUAAAGGGUGCGUAGGCGGACGCUUAAGUCAGCGGUAAAAUUGCGGGGCUCAACCUCGUCGAGCCGUUGAAACUGGGUGCCUUGAGUGGGCGAGAAGUACGCGGAAUGCGUGGUGUAGCGGUGAAAUGCAUAGAUAUCACGCAGAACUCCGAUUGCGAAGGCAGCGUACCGGCGCCCAACUGACGCUGAAGCACGAAGGCGUGGGUAUCGAACAGGAUUAGAUACCCUUGUAGUC
rnacentral:rRNA from 1 species